CACGUAGGGCGCAAGCGUUGUCCGGAAUUAUUGGGCGUAAAGAGCUCGUAGGCGGUCUGUUACGUCUGCUGUGAAAACCCGGGGCUUAACCCUGGGCUUGCAGUGGAUACGGGCAGACUAGAGGCAGGUAGGGGAGAAUGGAAUUCCCGGUGUAGCGGUGAAAUGCGCAGAUAUCGGGAGGAACACCGGUGGCGAAGGCGACUACCUGGCCUGUUUCUUGACGCUGAGGCGCGAAAGCUAGGGGAGCAAACGGG
rnacentral:rRNA from 1 species